rnacentral:sRNA from 1 species
UCCCGGACACAUUUUGCGAACAGCGCGC